AGAGUGCAUUUAUAGACACAGCCACAAGCCCUUAGGAAGCACAUACUUUGUUACAAGUAGCUCCACCCCAGACCUUGAAGACAAGGCUGCCAGGGCCUGGGUCUGACCCUCUAGGAGUUCAAUGAGAAAGAUAGAAAUGGCAGGUCUGGGUAAUCUGCCUUGGCCUUGCCACCAACCUAAGUCUAGGCAAAGGGGGAGCCCUUCUUCUGCUAGUCAAGGGGGGGUGGGGGCUUCAGGUGGAAGACGCCUAGCCCAACCUUCUCAGCUCUACUCCUGCAUUCAAGGCCUGCACAGGUGAUUCC